GGAUCGAUGAUGACUCCCUCUAAUGCAUUCCUUGGAAAUCUGAACAAAAUGAGUGAGAACUCACUACCGUCUCCUCAUCGAAACUGAGGUCU
ensembl:snoRNA SNORD116 Small nucleolar RNA SNORD116